GUAAUUGUGGCCCAGUGGUUAAGGUGAUGGACUCAAAAUCCAUUAGACUUUCCCCGCACAGGUUAAAAUCCUGUCAAUUACA